rnacentral:tRNA from 1 species
GGAGAGGUAGCAUAGUCCGGCCUAAUGCGCGCGCCUGGAGAGCGCGUGAGCCUUACGGCUCCGUGGGUUCAAAUCCCACCCUCUCCG